CAAUCUGGCUCUCCCUCAGGGAGGGAAGAACUGGUCAAAGGUUGGAAGUACCCGGCAGGAGGAUCCUUCUUUGCUCACCAGGAAAAGAAGUUAGCCUUCAGUGCAGGCGGAGCCCCAGCUGUGACCUGCCAUGGGCAGCUGUCCUCUGCCCGCUCUCCCUGUGACCCUGGCUUCAGCCUCCCACUGCAGAUUCCUCAGUAAAGAACCUCUGGCCCCAGCAUGGCAUCAAGUGGCUUCAAUGGAGCAGGAGCCAGCUGCUGAGGGUUUCCUUUGGCCAAAAAAUCAAAUGUUGGGACGGCUGAGUGGCGCGUUGGUUAAGAGCUGGCUUGGGACGCCAGCUCUGAGCAGCAGGGCCCCAGUUCG